CGGUGAUGGAUGGGGAAUGCGUCUGAUUAGCUUGUUGGCGGGGUAACGGCCCACCAAGGCAACGAUCAGUAGGGGGUUCCUGAGAGGAAGGGUCCCCCCACAUUGGAACUGAGACACGGUCCAAAACUCCUACGGGAGGCAGCAGUGAGGAAUAUUGGUCAAUGGGCGAGAGCCUGAACCAGCCAAGUAGCGUGCAGGAAGACGGCCCUAUGGGUUGUAAACUGCUUUUAUAGGGGAAUAAAGUGAGCCACGUGUGGUUUUUUGCAUGUACCCUAUGAAUAAGGACCGGCUAAUUCCGUG
rnacentral:rRNA from 1 species